AACGAACGCUGGCGGCAUGCCUAACACAUGCAAGUCGAACGAGACCUUCGGGUCUAGUGGCGCACGGGUGCGUAACACGUGGGAAUCUGCCCUUUGCUUCGGAAUAACAGUUAGAAAUGACUGCUAAUACCGGAUGAUGUCGAAAGACCAAAGAUUUAUCGGCAUAGGAUGAGCCCGCGUAGGAUUAGGUAGUUGGUGGGGUAAAGGCCUACCAAGCCGACGAUCCUUAGCUGGUCUGAGAGGAUGAUCAGCCACACUGGGACUGAGACACGGCCCAGACUCCUACGGGAGGCAGCAGUGGGGAAUAUUGGACAAUGGGCGAAAGCCUGAUCCAGCAAUGCCGCGUGAGUGAUGAAGGCCUUAGGGUUGUAAAGCUCUUUUACCAGGGAUGAUAAUGACAGUACCUGGAGAAUAAGCUCCGGCUAACUCCGUG
rnacentral:rRNA from 1 species